rnacentral:rRNA from 1 species
AUGGAGAACACUGCUAUUUACAUCUACAGCGCCGACAGCUGCUUCGUUGGAAGUCAGAUUCGAUUGCGGGGGAGGUGGAAAGGCGACCGGCGACGAGGGGCCUCUGCACGACGCCGCCUCUGCGACCGCGAUGACAUCUCAGUCUCACUCACACGGUUCAAGAAGCCGGGGCAAGCACAUCGCCAGGAGAUGAUGGUUUGUGAUGCCCUGAUCUGCUGCUUUAAUAUUCUUGUGUUAAGCUUGGCUGGGUCAAGCACUUCACUGAUAAUCCCAACACCUCGUGUAGCUUCAGUGAACUCAGAUGACCCAGCAUGGAAGCAUUGCAAGAUUCCGGACAUGACCAAGAAGGCCUCUGUGGAAUGCAACUUCUGCCAUGGUGUUUACAUUGGUGCUGAUGUGAAGCAAGAGAUGAGGGAGCUGAUCUCAAGGAAAGAUGAAGCAAAGGAAAAGAAGGCUAGGGAAUCAGCAAUACGCAGAAGUGAUGUCAAUUUGGAUGGAAAUGAUGCUAGGGCUGCUGAUGAAGAUGACAUCUUGGGCGGUGGUAGUGGGGGUGGUUUGCUUGUAUUAUCAGGGAAACGACAGAGUAAGGGCAACACAUAUGGUUCUAUGGAUAAGUUUUGCACCAAGUCAACAAAAGAGGUUGUGGCCGCAAGGAAGGGGGAAUGCUUUUCUACAAAGUUGCAAACCAAGUUGUCCACUCAAAGAAGGGAAGAGAGGCGGGUUCGUGCUUGUGAGUAUGUUUGUCAGUUCUUCUAUGAAGCCGGAAUUGCCCACAAUGCAGUCCUGCUUCCAAGCUUUGAACUUAUGCUUGAAGCGAGCAAGAAGAAGGUCGAGGAAGGAUUUGCUAGACAUAAAGAAGCAUGGAAGCUCACUGGAUGUACCGUCAUGACAGAUGCAUGGGCAGACAAAAGAGGAAGGGGAGUGGUGAAUUUGGUAGUUCAUAGUGCCUAUGGCGUUGUUUUUGUUGAUUCUGUGGACUGUUCAGAUAGCUUGCAGGACAACAAAAAAGAGCUACAAAAGUUGUUCAGGUCCGAUGAACUCAAUGAAAUGGACCACCUAAAAAAGGCAAAGGGGAAGAACACAGCUAAAAUCGUUCGCUCUGAAACUUUUUGGAAAGCAGUAGAUACCGCUGUCAAUUUCUUUGAGCCAAUGGCAAAUCUUUUGAGGAGGAUGGAUAGCGAUGUUCUGGCAAUGGGUUUUAUGCAUGGUUGUAUGUUGGAUGAAAAGAAAGAGAUCUCCGUGAGGUUUGACAAUGACAAGUCUCGCUUUCUGGAAGUGUGGGACAUCAUUGACAAGAGAUGGGACAACAAGUUGAAGACUGCAUUACAUAUGGUUGGAUACUACUUGAACCCAUACUAUUAUUAUCCAAACAAGCUUGAUAUUGAGAUCGAUGGUAGUUUCAAAGAAGGGUUGAUAACUUGUAUUUCAAAGAUGGUUGAAGAUCCUAUCAUGCAAGAAGAAAUAAUCGAUGAGAUUGACCACUAUCAAGAGGGGAUAUGGUCUUUUGGAAGGGACAUUGCUGUACGGCAAAGGAAAAACAAAAAGUUUGAUCCAGCUAAAUGGUGGAUGAACCAUGGGACAAGUGCUCCAAAACUAAGGAUCUUGGCUGCAAGGAUUCUUGGAUUGACAUGUAGUUCCUCUGCUUGUGAGAGGAACUGGAGUGUAUUUGAUCAAGUAUCUCGUAUUGCAGAUUUGAGUGGCUAG